UACGUAGGGUGCAAGCGUUGUCCGGAAUUAUUGGGCGUAAAGAGCUCGUAGGCGGUCUGUUACGUCGGCUGUGAAAACCUGGGGCUCAACUCCGGGCCUGCAGCCGAUACGGGCAGACUAGAGUUCGGCAGGGGAGACUGGAAUUCCUGGUGUAGCGGUGAAAUGCGCAGAUAUCAGGAGGAACACCGGUGCGAAGGCGGGUCUCUGGGCA
rnacentral:rRNA from 1 species